rnacentral:rRNA from 1 species
AAAUUGAAGAGUUUGAUCAUGGCUCAGAUUGAACGCUGGCGGCAGGCCUAACACAUGCAAGUCGAACGGUAACAGGAAGCAGCUUGCUGUUUCGCUGACGAGUGGCGGACGGGUGAGUAAUGUCUGGGAAACUGCCUGAUGGAGGGGGAUAACUACUGGAAACGGUAGCUAAUACCGCAUAACGUCGCAAGACCAAAGAGGGGGACCCUCGGGCCUCUUGCCAUCGGAUGUGCCCAGAUGGGAUUAGCUUGUUGGUGGGGUA